AUUGAACGCUGGCGGCAGGCCUAACACAUGCAAGUCGAGCGGAUGAAGGGAGCUUGCUCCUGGAUUCAGCGGAGGACGGGUGAGUAAUGCCUAGGAAUCUGCCUUGUAGUGGUGGAUAACAUCCGGAAACGGGCGCUAAUCCCUCAUCCGCCCUGUCGACGAAAGUUGGGGAUCUUCGGCCCUCACGCUAUCAGAUGAGCCUAGGUCGGAUUAGCUAGUUGGUGGGGUAAAGGCCUACCCACGCGACGAUCCGUAACUGGUCUGAGAGGAUGAUCAGUCACACUGGAACUGAGACACGGUCCAGACUCCUGCGGGAGGAAGAAGUGGGGAAUAGUGGACAAUGGGCGAAAGCCUGAUCCAGCCAUGCCGCGUGUGUGAAGAAGGUCUUCGGAUUGUAAAGCUCUUUAAGUUGGGAGGGAGGGCAGUGAGUUAAUACCUUGCUGGUUUGACGUUACCAACAGAAUAAGCACCGGCUAACUUCGUG
rnacentral:rRNA from 1 species